UGCCUGGCUGCCAGCUCCUGUGUCCUUGGAGCUGGCUGCUCCCGUGGCUAGCAAAGCUUCUUCGCAGAAUCAGGAGAUUCUGGGGAGUUCCAUGGAAAACCUAGGCUCUGGGGGAAGGGUUUUGGGUCAUGUGGAGAUAGAGGACUCCAGCUACCGGUACCAACUGAAAUACGGAUUUCUGGUUGGAAAAAACCAGGAACACAGCAAAGAGAGAUAAGCACUGUGGCUUUGGAGCAAAGGACACUGAAGCGGGUGGUGUCAGCCAGUGCCCGCCCUCCUCUACUUCCCCAAGACACCGCUGGCCAUUUGCUUCAACUGUCCCUAGGGAAGGCCAGGAGCAAAGGGCAGCCUUGUGAUGGGCGCCCGCCCGAGUCCUGGUGCCACCACAGCUGUCAGCUGCACGUGCCUGCUCCAGGCCUGGCCAGAGGCACUCUGGCCACAGAGGGAGAGCAGGGACACAGUUGCUUCUGCUGGGAGCUCAGCGGCCUGCGUUUCUCGGGCCAGGAAGCAAAGCUGUGAGGGAGCUGGAAGGGCCAGAGCGCCCCCACCCUCUCAAGCGUCCAGAUUUGACUCAGCUGUGUCAGAUUUGACCCCUGUGUCCUGGUGGCCUGUCCCCAUGCUUCCUGAUUAAGUCUGGCUCUUUUGGGGUGAUUACAACCUGGAUUUCCAAAGGUGGCUCUGGGUGGCAGGGAGCAGCCAGUGUCCUGGAGUGGACCCAGAUAAAAACCUAGUUCUUGAUUUGGGAACGAGGAGCUCCCCUCCAGUGGUCUGCUAAUGUGUUCUCAGCAUCAAGGGGUGUAGCAAUCCCCCCUACCCUGAAGAUUCUCUGAAUCCUUUUGGUUGGUUUUGUUUGCCUCUUGACUCGAGACAAGACCUCACGAUGAAGCCCGGGCUAGCCUUGGGUGUGAGGUCCCUGUGCUCUAGCCCUGCAAGGUGCUGGGAUCCAGAACUGGGCAGGCUCCUUACCCCUUGGAAGCAGCCGUCCGCACUGUCCAGAGCUGGCUCCAUCCACUCUUCACCAGCUUGGAAGAGCGGCACUUCUUGUGGACGAGACGCACGGAAAUGUGAAGAUCAGCUGUGCAGCAAGUGUCAGUCACCUACAGUGCCUCCCGAAACAGCGUCCUCCACCCUCCUCUGUGUUGAGGCAAAUGGGAUGCCAAAAGCGAACAUGUCUGGGUGAUGCUCAGGUGGUCGAGUCAAGGCGAAUCAGGCUUUUAGGUCUGCUCCAGCCGACUAAAAGCUGAAGGCUGAGAUCUACAGACCGGCCCCAGCUAUGGCCCCCUUUAAAGGCUGCCCGUUCCCGAGACUUCAAGCAACUCCUUUGCCAAGGGAGUCCAGACUAUUGCACAGGCCGAGGACCGGAUUCCACAUUAUUUUGUGUUUUGUUUAAAAAGGCUUUUUUUUUUUCUGUCCGUUUUUACUGCUUUUAAAUUCUGUGUGUACCUGUGUGUGGGUGAGUGCUCAUGAGAGGAGGUGCCUGCAGAGCCCAGGAGGAGGGGUCAGUUUAUCUGGAGCUGGAGUUAUAGGGAGUGAUGGGCUGCUUGGUGGAGGUGCUGGGACCUAAUUUGAGCCCUCUGUAAGAUCAGUAUACACACUUAGUUGCUGAAUCUUCUUGCCAGUCUUCCUCCCACACUCUUCUUCUUCUUUUUUUACCAGUCUCUUUUAAAAAAUUAUUUUAAAAUUAUGUGUCUAGUCAUGUAUACCGGCACCCGUGCAGAUGCUGGGGUCACAAAGGAGGCAUUGGAUUUGGGAGUCAGAAUUCCACACAGUUGUGUGCUGGGUGCUGGGGAUUGAAUUUAGGUCCUCCGUAAGAGCAGAGGAUUUGCUCUUAACCACUGAGGCAACCCUCCCACCCCUCCCCGCCUCCAGGUAAUGGAGGAGAUGGCCAAAUAAAUACUGAUGCUGCUAAGAGGAACCUAUGUUGUGGCUGAGCGUGCCUGGAGCUUUCAGAACUGGUGGACGGUCCGAGAAGAGGAAAGCUUUCAGGAGGCAGGGAGCCUAGCCACCCAAGGGUCCCUGGAGAAAAUGAGGGAUUUCACACUUCCCAGCUUGCUUCUCUACUCUUGGCCCUCGACCCCCUCCUUCUGAAGAUGCUCAUGGGAUUCUGACACGGUGUCCAACUCCAGAAGCAGAGAAAGCGGGGUGUGGGGAGAGGCCCGCUCUGCAAACUCCUACCCCCCAGGUUCUCGGUGGAGGAGGACCGUACAGGGCCCGGGGUGGCUUGAGCUGUGGUCUGUAGCUCCAGACCCCUUUGCUUUCCUGACCCUCUGGAUGAGGCGAUUAACGCCUGCUUCCUGUUCUGUCUUCAUGGCAUCAGGGAUCCACUUGGCACCUGUAUCAGUCUAUUCUGGCUUCAAGAAGAUCGUGCCACAGACAUUGCUCUCUCGGCUGGGAAAGCCGAAGAGUUCAAGAUCGAGAGAUUCGGUGUCCCUCCAAGGCCAGCUUCCUAGUUUAUCCACAGCUGUCUUCUCACCAUGUCCUUCCAUGCCUGAAGGAAAAAGGAGUCUCAUUUGGGGUCUCAUUCACAGGGACACUUUCAUAGGGCUCUACCAAAGGCCUGCUUCCUGAUACUGUCACAUCAUGGAUCAGGAUUGUAAAGGAGGCGGGGCGGGAGGCGUAAAUAUUCAGUCGCCGACAACACCCUUCAAAAGCCCGUAGGAUUCAAAGUGAUACGUGGAUUCUUCAUCAUGGAACUAAAACACGUUCUGGAAGGAAACACAAGAAAGAGGAAGUAUGUGGGUGUCAAAACCACAAUGUGAACACCUGCUUCCCCUCAGAUAACUGCUGUGAAUUUGGGGGGUGAUCUGAUCAAAAUGUUAGUGUGUUAGCUUAGUGACUUCGGUGCACAUGUCUACGUGCCUGCAGCCCAUUCCCUCGCUUGGAUCUCCUCAACCCCCAAAC